rnacentral:rRNA from 1 species
UACGUAGGUCCCGAGCGUUGUCCGGAUUUAUUGGGCGUAAAGCGAGCGCAGGUGGUUUAUUAAGUCUGGUGUAAAAGGCAGUGGCUCAACCAUUGUAUGCAUUGGAAACUGGUAGACUUGAGUGCAGGAGAGGAGAGUGGAAUUCCAUGUGUAGCGGUGAAAUGCGUAGAUAUAUGGAGGAACACCAGUUGCGAAGGCGGCUCUCUGGACUGUAACUGACACUGAGGCACGAAAGCGUGGGGAGCAAACAGG